rnacentral:rRNA from 1 species
AUUGAACGCUGGCGGCAUGCCUAAUACAUGCAAGUCGAGCGGAGCGGCGGACGGGUGAGUAAUGACUAGGAAUCUGCCCGGUCGUGGGCGAUACAGCCAGGGAACGGACGCUAUGACCGCAUACUCUCAGAUGAGUCUAGGUCGGAUUAGCUAGAUGGUGGGGUAGUGGCCUACCAAGGCGACGAUCCAUACCUGGUCUGAGAGGAUGAUCAGUCACACGGGAACGGAGACACGGACCAGACUCCGACGUGAGGCAGCGGUGGGGAAUAUUCGACAAGGGGCGAUAGGCUGUACUAGCCAAGCCGCGUGUGUGAAGAAGGGCUUCGGAUCGUAAAGCACGUUAAUUUGGGAAGCGGUACCUACAGAAUAAGCACCGGCUAACUUCGUGCCAGCAGCCGCGGUAAUUC